rnacentral:lncRNA from 1 species
UCCCCACUGAGCAACCAAGGAUCCUGGCUGGGAAUACUUUCUGCCUUUAAAUCACACCAUAGUCUUUCCCUAUUGCCUGCAGUAUUAUGAGCAUAUACUACACUCAAAUGGAAUCUGUUUGAAGCUUGUGUGUCCUCCACCAUACAUUGAAUGAAUAGUUCAUUUCUAACAGGUUGUUGUACACCAGCAAAAUAUAUAGCACUUUUGCUGUUAUUUGCUUUCAAUCCUGAUGCUGCAGAAAACUUAUGAAAAGCUUCUUGUAAUAACUGAAUAGAGAUUCUAUCAGCUCUGCAAAACAUGAGAAGAUCAUCAGCGAAGCAAAUAUGCACACAGUUUAACUUUCUGCAUUUAGGAUGGAAAUUAAAAUCUCCAUUCCUAUGAAGUUGUUGCAGCAGUCUGUUAAGAUACUCCAUUGCAAUCACAAAUAAGUAGGGGGACAUAGGAUCCCCUUGCCUAAUCCCUCUCCUAGCCUUGAAAGGUUUAGUGAAUCCUCCAUUUAGCAUCAAGGAAUAUGAAACAGUAGAAACACAUGCCAUAAUCCAGUUGAGGAACUUUGCAGGNNNNNNNNNNNNNNNNNNNNNNNNNNNNNNNNNNNNNNNNNNNNNNGCAGGAAAUCCAAUAUCAAUAAGAACCUGUUGAAGAAAGCCCCAUUCUAAAGUAUCAUAUGCCUUCUUUAAGUCCACCUUAAGGACACAUCUAGGAGACACACCUUUCCUUGUAUAUCCCUUGAAAAUUUCAUGACUGAGUAGGAUAUUAUCAAUGAUACUCCUUCCUUCAAUAAAUGCUGAUUGGGACUGGCCAACUAUAUUGCCAAUUACAGUCUUCAUUCAUUCUCUUUGUAAUUAUCUUGGCAAUGAUUUUGUAUACUGUUGUACAACAGGCAAUAGGCCUAUAAUCUUUGACAGUGGUAGGAUUAGCAUUCUUAGGCACCAGUGCAAUUGCUGUAGUAUUUAUCAUACUAGGCAUAUUGCAAGUAGUAAAGAACUCCAUAGUAGCAGCAACUAUGUCCUCUUGCACUAUCUCCCAGUUUCAUUUGAAGAAUUCCACAGGAAAACCAUCCACACCAGGGGCUUUAUCUGUUGGCAUCUCCUUUGUAGCUUCUACAAUCUCCUCCACUGUGACUUCUUGUAUUAAUUCUCUCUGUUGUACUGCAGUGAGGCAAGUACCUUCUUUCAUAACAGCAGUGUUAAUACAAGGAAUUUCCUCAGCACACUCCCCCAUCAGUGAUUUGAAUACUUGGAUAAAUUCCUGCUCCACAGCUAAUGGCUCUAUCAGCUUGUCACCUAGUUCAGUAUAUAUAGAGCUGAUGUUAUUCUGGCUGGUUCUGAUCUUCCAUUGAGCAUGAAAAUACUUUGUGUUGGCAUCUCCACAUUCAAUCCAGUUAGCUUUGGAUUUCUGUCUCAUAAUCUGUUCCUCCACCUUGCUCCAUUUUUCAAUUUCAGACAUUGCAUUCCUCUCAGCAAUGAGUAGAUUAUGUGCAAAAGGAUCCUGCUGCAUUUGGCUUUGAACAAUCUCCAAUGUUUCUUUUGCUUGAACAAGUUUCUGCUUAUAGGCUGCCAUCUGUCUAUUGAUAUCUUUCAGUUGUUGCUUCAAUAUUUUCAGCUUAGUCCAUACCUUCUGCAUAGGAAGUCCUUCACAUUGCUGUGCCCAUACCUUUUCCAGAAUAGGUUUGAACUGAGGCUCCUCCAUAACUACAUUAUAGAAUCUGAAUGGUUUAGGGUGUAAUAGCCUUUGACUGCCAAAUUUGAUAAGUAUAGGAGAAUGAUCAGAUACAGAAGGGUUCAAGUAUUCUGCCUCAAGGUGCCCAUACUGUUGGAUCCAUUGAAAGUUACCAAGUGCCCAGUCAAUUUUACUAUACACUCUUGUAUUAGCAUCCUGCUUGUUUGACCAAGUAUAAUACCAUCCUUUAGCUCUGAGAGGAGUGAGUUGAAUCACAUCUACAGCCUCUUUGAAAUCCUUGAUUUUAGCAUCAGUGACAGGAGAUCCAAUUCUAUCUUCAAAGUUCAGCAUAGUAUUGAAAUCCCCACUAAGCAACCAAGGAUCCUGGCUGGGAAUACUUUCUGCCUUUAAAUCACACCAUAGUGUUUCCCUAUUGCCUGUAGUAUUAUGAGCAUAUACUACACUCAAAUGGAAUCUGUUUGAAGCUUGUGUGUCCUCCACCAUACAUUGAAUGAAUUGAUCAGUCACUGUAGAUAUGGUUACUUGAAUAUGAGGCUUCCAUAGCAACCAUAUCCUACCAUUGACAGCCUUUGUAUAG